rnacentral:rRNA from 1 species
AUUGAACGCUGGCGGCAUGCUUUACACAUGCAAGUCGAACGGUAACAGCACUUUUGUUGCUGGGGAGUGGCGAAAGGGGGUGUAUUACAUGGGAACGUGCCGAGUUGUGGUGUGUAAUUAGUCGAAAGAAUUGGUAAUACCGCCUGAGAUCUAAGUAUAACACCAGGGGAGCGUCGGGCCUUUCUCUACUAGAUGGGCUGAUGGCAGUUUAGGUAGUUGGUGGGAGAAACGCUUACCAAGCCGACGAUCUGUAGCUGGUCUGAGAGGACGACCAGCCAGACUGAGAGUGAGACACGGCCCACUGUGCUACGGGAGGGAGCAGUGGGGAAUUUUGGACAAUCGGCGCAAACCAGAUCCAGCUAUGCCGAGUGCAGGAUGAGGGCCUUCGGGUUGUAAAUGGCUUUUGUACGGAACGAAAAGCCUUCUUCUAAUACAGGAGCGUCAUGACGGUACCCUAAGAAUAAACCCCGGCUAACUUCGUG